rnacentral:rRNA from 1 species
AACAAACGCUGGCGGCGUGCCUAACACAUGCAAGUCGUACGAGAAAGUUCGCUUCGGCGAAUGAGUAAAGUGGCGCACGGGUGAGUAACGCGUGGAUAAUCUCCCCUUUAGCUAGGAAUAACUCAUCGAAAGGUGGGCUAAUACCUCAUGAUACUGCUUUACUUCGGUAGAGUAGUCAAAGAGAGCCUCUGUAUACAAGCCCUCACUAAAGGAUGAGUCCGCGUACCAUUAGCUAGUUGGCAGGGUAAUGGCCUACCAAGGCGACGAUCCGUAGCUGGUCUGAGAGGAUGAUCAGCCACACUGGGACUGAGACACGGCCCAGACUCCUACGGGAGGCAG